GGUUAAGCGACUAAGCGUACACGGUGGAUGCCCUGGCAGUCAGAGGCGAUGAAGGACGUGCUAAUCUGCGAAAAGCGCCGGCGAGGUGAUAUGAACCCUUGACCCGGCGAUGUCCGAAUGGGGAAACCCAGUGCAAUCCGUUGCACUAUCGUUAACUGAAUACAUAGGUUAACGAGGCGAACCGGGGGAACUGAAACAUCUAAGUACCCCGAGGAAAAGAAAUCAACCGAGAUUCCCCCAGUAGCGGCGAGCGAACGGGGAGCAGCCCGGAGUCUGAAUCAGCUUGUGUGUUAGUGGAACGGUCUGGAAAGUCCGACGGUACAGGGUGAUAGUCCCGUACACGAAAGCACACUUGCUGUGAACUCGAAGAGUAGGGCGGGACACGUGGUAUCCUGUCUGAAUAUGGGGGGACCAUCCUCCAAGGCUAAAUACUCCUGACUGACCGAUAGUGAACCAGUACCGUGAGGGAAAGGCGAAAAGAACCCCGGCGAGGGGAGUGAAAAAGAACCUGAAACCGUGUACGUACAAGCAGUGGGAGCCUCUUUAUGGGGUGACUGCGUACCUUUUGUAUAAUGGGUCAGCGACUUAUAUUCUGUAGCAAGGUUAACCGUAUAGGGGAGCCGAAGGGAAACCGAGUCUUAACUGGGCGUUAAGUUGCAGGGUAUAGACCCGAAACCCGGUGAUCUAGCCAUGGGCAGGUUGAAGGUUGGGUAACACUAACUGGAGGACCGAACCGACUAAUGUUGAAAAAUUAGCGGAUGACCUGUGGCUGGGGGUGAAAGGCCAAUCAAACCGGGAGAUAGCUGGUUCUCCCCGAAAGCUAUUUAGGUAGCGCCUCGUGAACUCAUCUUCGGGGGUAGAGCACUGUUUCGGCUAGGGGGCCAUCCCGGCUUACCAACCCGAUGCAAACUACGAAUACCGAAGAAUGUUAUCACGGGAGACACACGGCGGGUGCUAACGUCCGUCGUGAAGAGGGAAACAACCCAGACCGCCAGCUAAGGUCCCAAAGUCAUGGUUAAGUGGGAAACGAUGUGGGAAGGCACAGACAGCCAGGAUGUUGGCUUAGAAGCAGCCAUCAUUUAAAGAAAGCGUAAUAGCUCACUGGUCGAGUCGGCCUGCGCGGAAGAUGUAACGGGGCUAAACCAUGCACCGAAGCUGCGGCAGCGACGCUUAUGCGUUGUUGGGUAGGGGAGCGUUCUGUAAGCCGUUGAAGGUGUGCUGUGAGGCAUGCUGGAGGUAUCAGAAGUGCGAAUGCUGACAUAAGUAACGAUAAAGCGGGUGAAAAGCCCGCUCGCCGGAAGACCAAGGGUUCCUGUCCAACGUUAAUCGGGGCAGGGUGAGUCGACCCCUAAGGCGAGGCCGAAAGGCGUAGUCGAUGGGAAACAGGUUAAUAUUCCUGUACUUGGUGUUACUGCGAAGGGGGGACGGAGAAGGCUAUGUCAGCCGGGCGACGGUUGUCCCGGUUUAAGCAUGUAGGCGGAGGUUCCAGGUAAAUCCGGUACCUUAUUAACGCUGAGGUGUGAUGACGAGGCACUACGGUGCUGAAGUGAUAAAUGCCCUGCUUCCAGGAAAAGCCUCUAAGCAUCAGGUAACACGAAAUCGUACCCCAAACCGACACAGGUGGUCAGGUAGAGAAUACCAAGGCGCUUGAGAGAACUCGGGUGAAGGAACUAGGCAAAAUGGUGCCGUAACUUCGGGAGAAGGCACGCUGAUGUGUAGGUGAAGCCCCUGCGGGCGGAGCUGAAAUCAGUCGAAGAUACCAGCUGGCUGCAACUGUUUAUUAAAAACACAGCACUGUGCAAACACGAAAGUGGACGUAUACGGUGUGACGCCUGCCCGGUGCCGGAAGGUUAAUUGAUGGGGUUAGCGGCAACGCGAAGCUCUUGAUCGAAGCCCCGGUAAACGGCGGCCGUAACUAUAACGGUCCUAAGGUAGCGAAAUUCCUUGUCGGGUAAGUUCCGACCUGCACGAAUGGCGUAAUGAUGGCCAGGCUGUCUCCACCCGAGACUCAGUGAAAUUGAACUCGCUGUGAAGAUGCAGUGUACCCGCGGCAAGACGGAAAGACCCCGUGAACCUUUACUAUAGCUUGACACUGAACACUGGUCCUUGAUGUGUAGGAUAGGUGGGAGGCUUUGAAGCGUGGACGCCAGUCUGCGUGGAGCCAACCUUGAAAUACCACCCUUUAAUGGCUGGUGUUCUAACGUAGACCCGUAAUCCGGGUUGCGGACAGUGUCUGGUGGGUAGUUUGACUGGGGCGGUCUCCUCCCAAAGAGUAACGGAGGAGCACGAAGGUUGGCUAAUCCUGGUCGGACAUCAGGAGGUUAGUGCAAUGGCAUAAGCCAGCUUGACUGCGAGCGUGACGGCGCGAGCAGGUGCGAAAGCAGGUCAUAGUGAUCCGGUGGUUCUGAAUGGAAGGGCCAUCGCUCAACGGAUAAAAGGUACUCCGGGGAUAACAGGCUGAUACCGCCCAAGAGUUCAUAUCGACGGCGGUGUUUGGCACCUCGAUGUCGGCUCAUCACAUCCUGGGGCUGAAGUAGGUCCCAAGGGUAUGGCUGUUCGCCAUUUAAAGUGGUACGCGAGCUGGGUUUAGAACGUCGUGAGACAGUUCGGUCCCUAUCUGCCGUGGGCGCUGGAGAAUUGAGGGGGGCUGCUCCUAGUACGAGAGGACCGGAGUGGACGCAUCACUGGUGUUCGGGUUGUCAUGCCAAUGGCACUGCCCGGUAGCUAAAUGCGGAAGAGAUAAGUGCUGAAAGCAUCUAAGCACGAAACUUGCCCCGAGAUGAGUUCUCCCUGAGACUUUAAGUCUCCUGAAGGAACGUUGAAGACGACGACGUUGAUAGGUCGGGUGUGUAAGCGCAGCGAUGCGUUGAGCUAACCGAUACUAAUGAACCGUG
rnacentral:rRNA from 1 species